rnacentral:rRNA from 1 species
GAUGAACGCUGGCGGCGUGCUUAACACAUGCAAGUCGAGCGAAGCAGUUAAGUUGAUUUCUUCGGAUUGAUUCUUAAUUGACUGAGCGGCGGACGGGUGAGUAACGCGUGGGUGACCUGCCCCAUACCGGGGGAUAACAGCUGGAAACGGCUGCUAAUAGCGCAUAAGCGCACAGAGCUGCAUGGCUCGGUGUGAAAAACUCCGGUGGUAUGGGAUGGGCCCGCGUCUGAUUAGGCAGUUGGCGGGGUAACGGCCCACCAAACCGACGAUCAGUAGCCGGCCUGAGAGGGCGACCGGCCACAUUGGGACUGAGACACGGCCCAAACUCCUACGGGAGGCAGCAGUGGGGAAUAUUGCACAAUGGGGGAAACCCCGAUGCAGCGACGCCGCGUGAGCGAAGAAGUAUUUCGGUAUGUAAAGCUCUAUCAGCAGGGAAGAUAAUGACGGUACCUGACUAAGAAGCCCCGGCUAACUACGUGCCAGCCGCCGCGGUAA